rnacentral:lncRNA from 1 species
GAUGGUUGAUUAAAGGUGAACCCUCAUAGCUUAUGGUUUUCAAAAGUUAAAUCACCACAAAUCUUCGAUUCUACAAGCUCCGGAAGGAGGUUCGGCGCGUGGAUCUCGCGUGAAGCCGAGGAUUCGGUGGACGCUUCGAGGAAUUGAGGCGUUGACGCUGCGAGGAGUUGCAGCAAGGUCGAUUGGAGGAUUCCUAUCGAUCGAGGACCGGCGAAGAUCGUCAUCUACGGGAAAUCGGUAAAUUGAGUCGUGUGUUUUGGUCAAAAUCACUUGUACUCAUGUUUUCUUAGUGGAUUUUCUUUGCGUGAUUGGUCCCGUGGGUUUUUCACUCCGAUUUGGAGUUUUCCCACGUUAAAUUCUCGGUGUGUUCUUUUAUUUUCCGCUAUUUUGUUUUAUUUGCAUCGAGUUUUUCGAGUUUGCCGUUUUUACACCUAUUCACCCCCCUCUAGGUGUUACUUACCUUUUAGAUCCUCGGGAUCCAUAUCUUACAAGUGGUAUCAGAGCGGGUAUAGGUUGUAAUUCAUGGCUGAGGGCGGUAACAUCAAUCGACCCCCGCUCUUCGAUGGAACUAACUAUGCUUAUUGGAAAGUCCGUAUGAGGGCGUUUCUUAUUGCUAUCGACGAGCGGGUUUGGCAAGCCAUUGAAUUCGGAUGGAAAAACCCUACCGAAGUAGUCGAGAAUGUUACCGUGCCGAAACCUAGGAAUAAAUGGACGAAAGAGGAAAAUAAACUAUCUUCGUUCAACGGGAAAGGUAUCAAUGCUUUAUUUAAUGCUUUAAAUCAAACUGAAUUUUCUCGUGUCUCGGCGUGCGAAACUGCUAAAGAGAUUUGGGACACUUUGCGAGUUACACACGAGGGUACAAGUGUCACGCCCCGGGACCGAGGCCAAUUUGGCCCGACCCGAGCACGUCAAACAGACGCCGAACGGACAGAGUUUCCCCUAUCCGCCCAAGGCUCAUCACAUGUACAUUUUCANUGGGGGUCAUCUUAAAGUUUAAGGCUUUGAAUUUCUACUCAUUCUAAACCCUAGAAACUUGUUUUUCCCGUUCCUAUGAUUCUAUUCCAAUAACAAGUUUCUAACAAUCAACGAUCGACUUGAUUCUUCGUUUUUACUCGAGAACUUAUACGAGAAUCAAGUAGAUGGUUGAUUAAAGGUGAACCCUCAUAGCUUAUGGUUUUCAAAAGUUAAAUCACCACAAAUCUUCGAUUCUACAAGCUCCGGAAGGAGGUUCGGCGCGUGGAUCUUGCGUGAAGCCGAGGAUUCGGUGGACGCUUCAAGGAAUUGAGGCGUUGACGCUGCGAGGAGUCGCAGCAAGGUCGAUUGGAGGAUUCCUAUCGAUCGAGGACCGGCGAAGAUCGUCAUCUACGGGAAAUCGGUAAAUUGAGUCGUGUGUU